rnacentral:rRNA from 1 species
CGCGGCCUAUCAGCUUGUUGGAGAGGUAACGGCUCACCAAGGCAUCGACGGGUAGCUGGUCUGAGAGGAUGAUCAGCCACACUGGAACUGAGACACGGUCCAGACUCCUACGGGAGGCAGCAGUGGGGAAUCUUGCACAAUGGGCGCAAGCCUGAUGCAGCGAUGCCGCGUGCGGGAAGAAGGCCCUAGGGUUGUAAACCGCUUUCAGUAGGGAAGAAAAUGACGGUACCUACAGAAGAAGGUGCGGCCAACUACGUGCCAGCAGCCGCGGUGACACGUAGGCACCAAGCGUUGUCCGGAUUUAUUGGGCGUAAAGAGCUCGUAGGCGGUUCCGUAAGUCGGAUGUGAAAACUCAGGGCUCAACCCUGAGACGCCAUCUGAUACUGCGGUGACUAGAGUCCGGUAGGGGAGCAUGGAAUUCCUGGUGUAGCGGUGGAAUGCGCAGAUAUCAGGAGGAACACCAAUGGCGAAGGCAGUGCUCUGGGCCGGUACUGACGCUGAGGAGCGAAAGCAUGGGGAGCAAACAGGAUUAGAUACCCUGGUAGUCCAUGCCGUAAACGUUGGGCACUAGGUGUGGGGUCUUCUAACGGAUUCCGUGCCGUAGCUAACGCAUUAAGUGCCCCGCCUGGGGAGUACGG